rnacentral:rRNA from 1 species
AUGAACGCUGGCGGCGUGCCUAAUACCUGCAAGUCGAGCGAACGGACGAGAAGCUUGCUUCUCUGAUGUUAGCGGCGGACGGGUGAGUAACACGUGGAUAACCUACCUAUAAGACUGGGAUAACUUCGGGAACCCGUAGCUAAUACCGGAUAAUAAUUUGAACCGCAUGGUUCAAAAGUGAAAGACGGUCUUGCUGUCACUUAUAGAUGGAUCCGCGCUGCAUUAGCUAGUUGGUAAGGUAACGGCUUACCAAGGCAACGAUGCAUAGCCGACCUGAGAGGGUGAUCGGCCACACUGGAACUGAGACACGGUCCAGACUCCUACGGGAGGCAGCAGUAGGGAAUCUUCCGCAAUGGGCGAAAGCCUGACGGAGCAACGCCGCGUGAGUGAUGAAGGUCUUCGGAUCGUAAAACUCUGUUAUUAGGGAAGAACAUAUGUGUAAGUAACUGUGCACAUCUUGACGGUACCUAAUCAGAAAGCCACGGCUAACUACGUG